GACGAACGCUGGCGGCGUGCCUAAUACAUGCAAGUCGAACGCAGUGGGGACGGGUGAGUAACACGUGGGUAACCUCCCAUCAGAGGGGAUAACACUUGGAAACAGGUGCUAAACCGAUACUGAUGGCUGGACCCUCGGGGGAUUAGCUAGUUGGGGAGGUAACGGCUCACCAAGGCCACGGUCCAUAGCUGGCCUGAGAGGAUGAUCAGCCACACUGGGACUGAGACACGGCCCAGACUCCUACGGGAGGCAGCAGUGGGGAAUAUUGGGCAAUGGGCGAAAGCCUGACGGAGCCAUGCCGCGUGAAUGAAGAAGGUUUUCGGGUCGUAAAGCACUGUUAGUAGGGAGGCGGUACCUAACGAGAAAGCAACGGCUAACUACGUGCCAGCAGCCGCGGUAAUAC
rnacentral:rRNA from 1 species